rnacentral:rRNA from 1 species
AGAACGAACGCUGGCGGCAUGCCUAAUACAUGCAAGUCGAACGAAGGCUUCGGCCUUAGUGGCGCACGGGUGCGUAACGCGUGGGAAUCUGCCCCUUGGUUCGGAAUAACAGUUGGAAACGACUGCUAAUACCGGAUGAUGACGAAAGUCCAAAGAUUUAUCGCCAAGGGAUGAGCCCGCGUAGGAUUAGCUAGUUGGUGAGGUAAAGGCUCACCAAGGCGACGAUCCUUAGCUGGUCUGAGAGGAUGAUCAGCCACACUGGGACUGAGACACGGCCCAGACUCCUACGGGAGGCAGCAGUAGGGAAUAUUGGACAAUGGGCGAAAGCCUGAUCCAGCAAUGCCGCGCGAGUGAUGAAGGCCUUAGGGUUGUAAAGCUCUUUUACCCGAGAUGAUAAUGACAGUAUCGGGAGAAUAAGCCCCGGCUAACUCCGUGCCAGCAGCCGC